rnacentral:rRNA from 1 species
ACCGAUUGACUAAGGUUUCCAGAGGAAGGCUCGUCCGCUCUGGGUUAGUCGGGUCCUAAGCUGAGGCCGACAGGCGUAGGCGAUGGAUAACAGGUUGAUAUUCCUGUACCACCUAUAAUCGUUUUAAUCGAUGGGGGGACGCAGUAGGAUAGGCGAAGCGUGCGAUUGGAUUGCACGUCUAAGCAGUAAGGCUGAGUAUUAGGCAAAUCCGGUACUCGUUAAGGCUGAGCUGUGAUGGGGAGAAGACAUUGUGUCUUCGAGUCGUUGAUUUCACACUGCCGAGAAAAGCCUCUAGAUAGAAAAUAGGUGCCCGUACCGCAAACCGACACAGGUAGUCAAGAUGAGAAUUCUAAGGUGAGCGAGCGAACUCUCGUUAAGGAACUCGGCAAAAUGACCCCGUAACUUCGGGAGAAGGGGUGCUCUUUAGGGUUAACGCCCAGAAGAGCCGCAGUGAAUAGGCCCAAGCGACUGUUUAUCAAAAACACAGGUCUCUGCUAAACCGUAAGGUGAUGUAUAGGGGCUGACGCCUGCCCGGUGCUGGAAGGUUAAGAGGAGUGGUUAGCUUCUGCGAAGCUACGAAUCGAAGCCCCAGUAAACGGCGGCCGUAACUAUAACGGUCCUAAGGUAGCGAAAUUCCUUGUCGGGUAAGUUCCGACCCGCACGAAAGGCGUAACGAUUUGGGCACUGUCUCAACGAGAGACUCGGUGAAAUCAUAGUACCUGUGAAGAUGCAGGUUACCCGCGACAGGACGGAAAGACCCCGUGGAGCUUUACUGUAGCCUGAUAUUGAAAUUCGGCACAGCUUGUACAGGAUAGGUAGGAGCCUUUGAAACGUGAGCGCUAGCUUACGUGGAGGCGCUGGUGGGAUACUACCCUAGCUGUGUUGGCUUUCUAACCCGCACCACUUAUCGUGGUGGGAGACAGUGUCAGGCGGGCAGUUUGACUGGGGCGGUCGCCUCCUAAAAGGUAACGGAGGCGCUCAAAGGUUCCCUCAGAAUGGUUGGAAAUCAUUCAUAGAGUGUAAAGGCAUAAGGGAGCUUGACUGCGAGACCUACAAGUCGAGCAGGGUCGAAAGACGGACUUAGUGAUCCGGUGGUUCCGCAUGGAAGGGCCAUCGCUCAACGGAUAAAAGCUACCCCGGGGAUAACAGGCUUAUCUCCCCCAAGAGUUCACAUCGACGGGGAGGUUUGGCACCUCGAUGUCGGCUCAUCGCAUCCUGGGGCUGUAGUCGGUCCCAAGGGUUGGGCUGUUCGCCCAUUAAAGCGGUACGCGAGCUGGGUUCAGAACGUCGUGAGACAGUUCGGUCCCUAUCCGUCGUGGGCGUAGGAAAUUUGAGAGGAGCUGUCCUUAGUACGAGAGGACCGGGAUGGACAUACCUCUGGUGUACCAGUUGUCGUGCCAACGGCAUAGCUGGGUAGCUAUGUGUGGACGGGAUAAGUGCUGAAAGCAUCUAAGCAUGAAGCCCCCCUCAAGAUGAGAUUUCCCAACUUCGGUUAUAAGAUCCCUCAAAGAUGAUGAGGUUAAUAGGUUCGAGGUGGAAGCAUGGUGACAUGUGGAGCUGACGAAUACUAAUCGAUCGAAGACUUAAUCAA